AUUUUUGUGGUAAAAAUGCGUGGCUUUCAGGUUAAAUGGGGGUUUGUCGAAGAGAAAAUGCAUGAUUUCUGGGUUGAAUGUUUUUUUUUUUUCCUUUAGAGAAAAGUGGUGAUUUUUGAUUGUGUAUUUUUCCAAGAGAAAAUGCAUGGUUUUUCGAUUAAACGGGGGAUUUUUGAAAAGAAAAUGCGUGACUUUCGGUUAAAUGGGGGAUUUUUGUGGUAAAAAGGCAUGGCUUUCAGGCUAAAGCGGGGAUUCUCGAAGAGAAAAUACAUGAUUUCUGCAUUGAAUGUUUUGUUUUGUUUUCGUUUAGAGAAAAGUGGUGAUUUUUGAUUGUGUAUUUUUCCAAGAGAAAAUGCAUGGUUUUUCGAUUAAAUGGGGGAUUUUUGAAAAGAAAAUGCGUGACUUUUGGGAUAGGUCAGAGAUUCUUGAAGAGAAAAUGCAUCAUUAUUGGGUGACAUGGGGGAUUUCCGAAGCGAAAUUGCGUUUUUUCGAGUUAAAUGGGGGUUUUUGAAGAGAAAAUGCAUGAUUUUCAUUUACAUGUGAGAUUGUUGUAGAGGAAAUGCGUGACUUUGGGGUUAAAUGGGGGAUUGUUGUAGCGAAAGUGUUUGCUUUGGGGCUCAACUGGGGGAUUUUUGAAGAGAAAAAGCGUGAUUUUCAG
ensembl:lncRNA